UUACUUUGGCAGCAGAUAUACAAAAACUGGAAUGGAUCAGAGAAAAUUAGCAUGGUCCCUGUGCAAGGAUGACAUCCAAGUUCACAAAGCAAUACCAUAUUUUU